CAGUUGCCUAGUGAUUGCAACACGAAAAGCGGAACCGUGACCGCCUGACAGCUGUUUUUAUAUAAAUCACGG
ncrna:unclassified sequences int-alpA RNA